UGUCCGCGUUCGUAUCCAAGUUUAGUAUCUGAUUUCUUCUAGUGCGUUGGACUUCAAUGCAUUUCUUGAUGGGAAGACCGGGAUUGGGUCUUGAAAAGAUUCUGACUUUGAGAUCAAACCACAGGCGUGGGGACAGGAUCGUGUCAAGAUGAACACCGUGGUGUCGAACUAACGAGGGAAGUUCGUUGGGGCUGGUCUGAUGCACAGAGGCGGAACGAGUACCAGGUGCUUGACGGAAUGCGCAAUUGGUGGGAGAGAAGAAUGAAGUCAAAGAGCUGUCAGGACAGUGAAGGAAAUUGAAGUAUGCUUGUUGGAGUAGGGAAAAGUUGAGAAUAUGACGGAGAACGGAGUUAUUACUCCUUUGAUGGGAGAUGUUGGACGGGCAUCAAGUUAGGCAAUACGGCCUACAUGAAGAGCAUGUUCUAUCUUUUCUGGUUUUCGUUUGUCAUUUUCCAAUUUCAAUGUACCUCACGAGGAGACCAGCUAUUGCCACGAUUGCAAGAGGCAAUCCAUCACAUAUGCUGACAAUAUCAUGAGAAAUAUCUUCGAGCUCUGGAGGGCAGGUCCCCCCCGGGAUGGAUCGAAAAGCCUUUUUACAAAACAGAGACCAAGCCUUUGCUGGAGGUAGUGGUUGAAGAUUGCAGACGUGACCGCAUGUUUCAAGGCAUGAGAGACCCACAUCCCUAAUUCGUGUUGUAACUAAAACUCUACUACCACAAUUAUUAACAGAAGCUAUCCGAUGGUGAGUACCCAGAUGCUUGAUGUAGUGAAUACCUCUAUGAAGGAAGCCAGAAAAUCCAUGCCCAUGAGGCCGGUUAAAGUGGAGCACAAACUCAUCAAGAACAUCCUCAAUGUCAUACGCUAUCUCUCGUACUUGAUUCACCCAUGUUCUCAUGCCAUCUCUAUCUUCUCUAGCAUCUGCUUCUCUCAAAAAUGAUUUUAUGCACUCAAGCUCAUCUCUGAUAUCUUUGACUCCUGUGUCUACCCCUCUCAAC